AAAUUGAAAAGGAGCAAGAAGAGGAAGAAGAUCAAGACUCACCAUGCCCCUGGCUAAGCCCGGAGCUGCCAGAGAUGGAGGAGCAGGACGUCCCGCAGGACUCUCUGGAUGAAGUUUACUUGACUCGUUCACUUCCCCAUGACCUGUCUGACUGCCAGCAGCCUUACAGCAGCACGUGGUGCUCAUUGGAGGAUCAGCUCGCCUGCUCUGCUCUCGAUGUAGCCUAGCUGGGUUUAGAGCUUUCCCUUGGAAUGAAGAACCCUCCCCAGCUGGAAGGUGAUGCUCUUGAAGGCUCAGCUGACAACACACAUGAGCAUCAAGUCAUUGGCCACAUUCAUGCUGCAAGUGUCCUAAAACCAAAGAUGAUCAAAAGAAAACUGCUGUUCAGCAAGUGGAGACUGGCAUGGAGAUUCCCUGGCCUGCAAGCUUAGGGUACGAAGAUACCAAAUACUACUGAAAGGAUGAAAAGGAUGAAAAGAUGUCAUCAAAGUAGUUUUUUCACUUGUUGAAAAAGACUAAAACAGCAAAGCAAGUUCAAGAUCAAACGCAACACUGCAGGGAUCCUUUGCUGAGGAGUGAACUUAAGACCAUGAAAUGCUGUUGAUGAUUUUAACCCACUGGGCCCCUUUGAUUUGAGAAGCCACAGCCCUUCCCCCUCCAAUUGUGAUCAAUUGUGAUCAGUAUCUAAGGACACCAAUGCCCCGAUGGACAAACAGCAUUGAGAGGCCGUAACCCUGCUUCUCUCAAUUCCUAUCCUGUAGAGAACAGGACUCAGGAGCUGCUGGCAGGAGACAGCGUGUCACCUAGGACUCUGCCGGUGCAGAGUAUGAAUAAUGCCGUGUUCUUGCUGAAAAUGCUUAGCUUGAGUUUCUUAGGAGGUAAUCACCAGACAACUGCAGAAUGUAGAACACUGAGCAGGACAACUGACCUGUCUCCUUCACACAGUCCAUGUCACCACGAAUCACACAACAAAAAGGAGAAGAGACAUUUUGGGUUUGAAAAGAGUAGAAAGAUAAUGUAGCUACACUUCUGUAGUUAUUUUGAACCCAAAGUAUCUCCUCAUCUUGUUGUUGUUGUCAUUGAUUGUGGUGACAUGGACUUGUUUGUAGAGGACAGGUCAGCUGUCUGGCUCAAUGUUCUACAUUCUGAAGUUGUCUGAAAAUGUCCUCAUGAUUAAAUUCAGCCUAAACGUUUUGCUGGGAACACUGCAGAGUCACUACUGUGAGUUUCCUACCUCAGCCCAUCUGCGGGCAGAGAAGGUCCAGUUUGUCCAUUACCAUUAUCGUGAUACUAGGACUGGUCACUUGGUUAAGGAGGGGUCUAGGAGAUCUUUCGCUUGUAAAGGCACCUUAUUUAUAAUUAAUUUGGAAAGUGGCAUGAAAAAGUAUAAAUAUUGUGUAUUCUAAUGAUCUUCCUCUGAACAGUUUAUCAUCAAUCACCCCUGCCUGUGUCAGUUAUUAUAUUUAUGUUUGUACAUUGGAAAUUUUCUAUCUCAAUGAUUAGUAUAUACUUGUUUUUGCUGGCAUUCUGUCAUAAAAAGAAUAUUCCCUGCACAAAUUUUAACUUUCAUCCCAAAUUCAUUUUAGUCUAUUAAUGUUAGAAUGUUUAAGUUUUGCUCUUUGAGGAAGACACGGUCAUAGGUGUUGCGGAUCCCUGAUCUGCACGCUCCUGCUCCUGGCUCACCGCUGUUUGCUCUCACCCAGGAAUAAGUUGGUAAGGAAUCACGCAGCAGCCAUGGCUUUUAAAGAUACCGGAAAAACACCCAUGGAGCUGGAGGUGGAAUUCACCAAAUUCGAAUUACUCUAAUCAGCUGCAAUGUAAAAUCCCUGGAGAAGAUGUGUGCUGACUUGAUCAGAGGAGCAAAGGCAAAGAAUCUCAAAGUGAAAUGACCAGUUCGAAUGCCUACCAAGACUUUGAGAAUCAUUACAAGAAAAACUCCUUAUGGUAAACGUUCUAAGACAUGGGAUCAUUUCCAGAUGAAAAUCCACAAUCAACUCAUUGACUUGCAGAGUCCUUCUGAGACUGUUAAGCAGAUUACUUCCAUCAGUAUUGAGCCAGAAGUUGAGGCGGAAGUCACCAUUGCAGAUGCUUAAGUCAACUAUUUUAAUAAAUUGAU